CCAACCCUUCAUCUUUAGCUCUUGGGAGAUUUAAGGAAGAAGCAGGAAGGUUUCUGACACUUUUCUGUUUCUUUUAGAAAUUCAAGCCCUUCUAGAGUCCUCACCAUGGUCUGGGCUCUGUCCUUCCUUGCACUUCUCAGCUACUUCUCAGGUGUCGUUUCACAACGUACUCUGACUCAGCCUGCCUCUGAAACUGUGUCCGUGGGGCAAACAGUUAAACUCUCCUGUACGUCCAGUGAUGGUCGCAGCAGCAGCUAUGUUGCCUUUUUUCAGCAGAGACCUGGACAGGCCCCUCGCUAUGUGCAGUACGUCGGCAGCAACAGGGGGGAAGGCAUCCCGGAUCGAUUCACUGCUUCCUUCUCUGGAAACACUGGCUUUUUAACCAUCACUGGCAUCCAGCCUGAAGAUGAGGCUGUCUAUUACUGUGGGGCUUGGUUUAACAGCGAUAGCUUGUUGCACGGUGAUCAAGUCUGAUGAGGA